ACCCGCUGAACUUAAGCAUAUCAAUAAGCGGAGGAAAAGAAACCAACAGGGAUUGUCUUAGUAACGGCGAGUGAAGCGACAAAAGCUCAAAUUUGAAAUCUGGCACCUUCGGUGUCCGAGUUGUAAUUUGAAGAAGGUAACUUUGGAGUUGGCUCUUGUCUAUGUUCCUUGGAACAGGACGUCACAGAGGGUGAGAAUCCCGUGCGAUGAGAUGUCCAACUCUAUGUAAAGUGCUUUCGAAGAGUCGAGUUGUUUGGGAAUGCAGCUCUAAGUGGGUGGUAAAUUCCAUCUAAAGCUAAAUAUUGGCGAGAGACCGAUAGCGAACAAGUACAGUGAUGGAAAGAUGAAAAGAACUUUGAAAAGAGAGUGAAAAAGUACGUGAAAUUGUUGAAAGGGAAGGGUUUGAGAUCAGACUUGGUAUUUUGUAUGUCUUGCUUUCGGGUGGGGCCUCUGCAGUUUACUGGGCCAGCAUCGGUUUGGACGGUAGGAUAAUGACAUUGGAAUGUGGCACUACUUCGGUGGUGUGUUAUAGACUUUGUUGAUACUGCCUGUCUAGACCGAGGACUGCGUCUUUGACUAGGAUGCUGGCAUAAUGAUCCUAAACCGCCC
rnacentral:rRNA from 1 species